GCGGUGGAUGAUGUGGUUUAAUUCGUAUGCAACGCGAAAACCUUACCACCUUUGACAUGUACGGAAUCCUUUAGAGAUAGAGGAGUGCUCGAAAGAGAGCCGUAACACAGGUGCUGCAUGGCUGUCGUCAGCUCGUGUCGUGAGAUGUUGGGUUAAGUCCCGCAACGAGCGCAACCCUUAUCAUUAGUUGCUACGCAAGGGCACUCUAAUGAGACUGCCGGUGACAAACCGGAGGAAGGUGGGGAUGACGUCAAGUCCUCAUGGCCCUUAUGGGUAGGGCUUCACACGUCAUACAAUGGUCGGUACAGAGGGUUGCCAAGCCGCGAGGCGGAGCCAAUCCCACAAAGCCGAUCGUAGUCCGGAUUGUUCUCUGCAACUCGAGAGCAUGAAGUCGGAAUCGCUAGUAAUCGCAGGUCAGCAUGUCGCGGUGAAUACGUUCCCGGGUCUU
rnacentral:rRNA from 1 species